GACGAACGCUGGCGGCGUGCUUAACACAUGCAAGUCGAACGGAAAGGCCCUGCUUUUGUGGGGUGCUCGAGUGGCGAACGGGUGAGUAACACAUGAGUAACCUGCCCUUGACUUUGGGAUAACUUCAGGAAACUGGGGCUAAUACCGGAUAGGAGCUCCUGCUGCAUAGUGGGGGUUGGAAAGUUUCGGCGGUUGGGGAUGGACUCGCGGCUUAUCAGCUUGUUGGUGGGGUAGUGGCUUACCAAGGCUUUGACGGGUAGCCGGCCUGAGAGGGUGACCGGCCACAUUGGGACUGAGAUACGGCCCAGACUCCUACGGGAGGCAGCAGUGGGGAAUAUUGCACAAUGGGCGGAAGCCUGAUGCAGCAACGCCGCGUGCGGGAUGACGGCCUUCGGGUUGUAAACCGCUUUCGCCUGUGACGAAGCGUGAGUGACGGUAAUGGGUAAAGAAGCACCGGCUAACUACGUG
rnacentral:rRNA from 1 species